rnacentral:rRNA from 1 species
AUUGAACGCUGGCGGCAUGCCUUACACAUGCAAGUCGAACGGCAGCACGGGGGCAACCCUGGUGGCGAGUGGCGAACGGGUGAGUAAUACAUCGGAACGUACCCAGCCGUGGGGGAUAACGUAGCGAAAGUUACGCUAAUACCGCAUACGUCCUGAGGGAGAAAGCAGGGGAUCGCAAGACCUUGCGCGAUUGGAGCGGCCGAUGUCGGAUUAGCUAGUUGGUGGGGUAAAGGCCUACCAAGGCAACGAUCCGUAGCUGGUCUGAGAGGAUGAUCAGCCACACUGGGACUGAGACACGGCCCAGACUCCUACGGGAGGCAGCAGUGGGGAAUUUUGGACAAUGGGCGAAAGCCUGAUCCAGCCAUGCCGCGUGAGUGAAGAAGGCCU